UACGUAGGGGGCAAGCGUUGUCCGGAUUUACUGGGCGUAAAGAGCGCGCAGGCGGUCGAAUAAGUCGAAUGUGAAAGCCCCCGGCUCAACUGGGGAGGGUCACGCGAUACUGAUCGACUGGAAGGCAGGAGAGGGUAGUGGAAUUCCCGGUGUAGUGGUGAAAUGCGUAGAUAUCGGGAGGAACACCAGUGGCGAAGGCGACUACCUGGCCUGUUCUUGACGCUGAGGCGCGAAAGCUAGGGGAGCAAACGGG
rnacentral:rRNA from 1 species